GGCGGCGUAGCUCAGCUGGUUAGAGCACGGCACUCAUAAUGCCGGGGUCAGCGGUUCAAGUCCGCUCGCCGCUA
rnacentral:tRNA from 1 species